GGAAGUAAAAGUCGCAACAAGGUUUCCGUAGGUGAACCUGCGGAAGGAUCAUUACUGAGUGAGGGCCCUCUGGGUCCAACCUCCCACCCGUGUUUAUUAUACCUUGUUGCUUCGGUGAGCCCGCCUCACGGCCGCCGGGGGGCAUCUGCCCCCGGGCCCGCGCCCACCGAAGACACCUAGAACUCUGUAUGAAGAUUGCAGUCUGAGCAAAAACUAAAUAAGUUAAAACUUUCAACAACGGAUCUCUUGGUUCCG
rnacentral:misc_RNA from 1 species